rnacentral:rRNA from 1 species
UCCUACGGGCGCAGCAGUAGGGAAUUUUCGUCAAUGGGCGCAAGCCUGAACGAGCAAUGCCGCGUGAACGAGGAAGGUCUUCGGAUCGUAAAGUUCUGUUGAAGGGGAAAAAGAGCGGAGAGAGGAAAUGGUCUCCGAUUGAUAUUACCCUUCGAGGAAGUCACGGCUAACUACGUGCCAGCAGCCGCGGUAAUACGUAGGUGGCGAGCGUUAUCCGGAAUGAUUGGGCGUAAAGGGUGCGUAGGCGGCCUGCUAAGUCUGGAGGGAAAGUGACCGGCUCAACCGGUACAGGCUCUGGCAACUGG